GAAUAUGAAGUGAUAAAAUUACAAUUAGUUUCGACCUAAUUUUAGGUAAAUAUUAUACCCUUAUUCU
rnacentral:tRNA from 1 species